rnacentral:rRNA from 1 species
GACGAACGCUGGCGGCGUGCUUACACAUGCAAGUCGAACGAUGAUGCCCAGCUUGCUGGGCGGAUUAGUGGCGAACGGGUGAGUAACACGUGAGUAACCUGCCCCUGACUCUGGGAUAAGCGUUGGAAACGACGUCUAAUACUGGAUAUGAUCACCGGCCGCAUGGUCUGGUGGUGGAAAGAUUUUUUGGUUGGGGAUGGACUCGCGGCCUAUCAGCUUGUUGGUGAGGUAAUGGCUCACCAAGGCGACGACGGGUAGCCGGCCUGAGAGGGUGACCGGCCACACUGGGACUGAGACACGGCCCAGACUCCUACGGGAGGCAGCAGUGGGGAAUAUUGCACAAUGGGCGAAAGCCUGAUGCAGCAACGCCGCGUGAGGGAUGACGGCCUUCGGGUUGUAAACCUCUUUUAGUAGGGAAGAAGCGAAAGUGACGGUACCUGCAGAAAAAGCACCGGCUAACUACGUGCCAGCAGCCGCGGUAAUACGUACGGUGCAAGCGUUGUCCGGAAUUAUUGGGCGUAAAGAGCUCGUAGGCGGUUUGUCGCGUCUGCUGUGAAAUCCCGAGGCUCAACCUCGGGCUUGCAGUGGGUACGGGCAGACUAGAGUGCGGUAGGGGAGAUUGGAAUUCCUGGUGUAGCGGUGGAAUGCGCAGAUAUCAGGAGGAACACCGAUGGCGAAGGCAGAUCUCUGGGCCGUAACUGACGCUGAGGAGCGAAAGCAUGGGGAGCGAACAGGAUUAGAUACCCUGGUAGUCCAUGCCGUAAACGUUGGGCGCUAGAUGUAGGGACCUUUCCACGGUUUCUGUGUCGUAGCUAACGCAUUAAGCGCCCCGCCUGGGGAGUACGGCCGCAAGGCUAAAACUCAAAGGAAUUGACGGGGGCCCGCACAAGCGGCGGAGCAUGCGGAUUAAUUCGAUGCAACGCGAAGAACCUUACCAAGGCUUGACAUACACCGGAAACGGCCAGAGAUGGUCGCCCCCUUGUGGUCGGUGUACAGGUGGUGCAUGGUUGUCGUCAGCUCGUGUCGUGAGAUGUUGGGUUAAGUCCCGCAACGAGCGCAACCCUCGUUCUAUGUUGCCAGCGGGUUAUGCCGGGGACUCAUAGGAGACUGCCGGGGUCAACUCGGAGGAAGGUGGGGAUGACGUCAAAUCAUCAUGCCCCUUAUGUCUUGGGCUUCACGCAUGCUACAAUGGCCGGUACAAAGGGCUGCGAUACCGUAAGGUGGAGCGAAUCCCAAAAAGCCGGUCUCAGUUCGGAUUGAGGUCUGCAACUCGACCUCAUGAAGUCGGAGUCGCUAGUAAUCGCAGAUCAGCAACGCUGCGGUGAAUACGUUCCCGGGCCU